CACAUUGUUUUAAAAAUUGUUAUUGUUUGGUUAAAUUUUUUAUGGGCUCCACUAAAUCAUCAUUUGGGUUCACUUUUUAUCAGUGAGAAUACUAAAAAAAUUUACCCAACAAGAAGAAAUGUGUUCAAAAGAUAAUCUAGCAAUAGUUAAUGCUUCCUUAUGUAAUUUAAUGUAUGCUUCCUUUGUCAAACAUGGGUUUGGUUCCACCAGGUUUCAGGUUUCUCAAUGUUUCAAAAUGGAUCAUUAUGUGAAUAUAGAGUUGUCAAAUUUUUUAAUGGAUGAUUUUGUAGGAGCAGUAUCAGUAUGAUUACCUGACGUUUUAUUCUUUCAAUGUGCAUUUUUUAUCCUUAAAGAGGGAAAAAAAUCUUAUAGGUUCCAAGAACUGUGGGGCAUAUUUAAUAUUCUUUCCGGCACACCCUCUCUUUUGGGAGUGGUUGUCGUAUGUAGAAACCAAAAGAGGCUUCCCUCUUGGACAAAGGAAAAGACUGGAUUCUAAUCAGAGUACUAUGGUUGCAAUUGAAAGAAAGAAUGCAUGCAGCAUCUCAAACUUUCAUCUUAAAUCUCACUCCACAGGCAUACCAAAUGAGCAAUGAAAUGUCUUGGCAUAGCUAGGUUACAAAUUCGAAGGACCCCAAAUUUGAUUACAUUGACAUUAACGAGAAACAGAAGGUUGUGAUCCCUUGCAUACAAAGAAAAAAGGGUCUCAAGGAAAGUAGCACCAAUUGGGCUUGACCUGCCAGUUGCAUAGUUGUUUAUGCUACUAUCUGUCUCAAAGGAGGCUGAAGAGGAAGUGAAAGCUUUUUCUGAUGGCUGAACACAGUUUGGAAGUAUUGAGGGAACCGAACCAAAUGACUGUUUUGCAUCAAAUGUAAAAGCUUCAAGGUCUAAACUAGUUAUACUUUCACUGUCAUAAUUGGAGGUUCCUUUUUCUUUGCCAUCGUGACCAAAGUUGCAUGCAAUAGAAAAACCUGAAGAUGAUGCUACAUGAAUGAGUAUUUUCUCGGGUUUGGGAACCAUAGGAUGAACUGAUACAUCUGAGAAAUUAGGAAGAGGUUUUCUUGGGUUUUCUUCCCAAACAAAUGGAACUGAGACAAUUAGUUGGAGGAGUUUGAGGGAAGUGGGCAACUGAAGAGACCUCUGAGAAAUUAUAUAUUGUUUCUUUUUUAGUAAUGUAAUGAAC